UACGGGGGGGGCAAGCGUUGUUCGGAAUUACUGGGCGUAAAGGGCGCGUAGGCGGCCGCCUAAGUCGGACGUGAAAUCCCUCGGCUCAACUGAGGAACUGCGUCCGAGACUGGGUGGCUUGAAUCCGGGAGAGGGAUGUGGAAUUCCAGGUGUAGCGGUGAAAUGCGUAGAUAUCUGGAGGAACAUCGGUGGCGAAGGCGGCCUUCUGGACGGUGACUGGACGCUGAGACGCGAAAGCGUGGGGAGCAAACAGG
rnacentral:rRNA from 1 species